rnacentral:rRNA from 1 species
CCUACGGGGGGCAGCAGUGAGGAAUAUUGGUCAAUGGACGCAAGUCUGAACCAGCCAUGCCGCGUGCAGGAAGACGGCUCUAUGAGUUGUAAACUUCUUUUGUACGGGGGUAAACGCAGAUACGCGUAUCUGUCUGAAAGUAUCUUACGAAUAAGCAUCGGCUAACUCCGUGCCAGCAGCCGCGGUAAUACGGAGGAUUCAAGCGUUAUCCGGAUUUAUUGGGUUUAAAGGGUGCGUAGGCGGUCGGGUAAGUUAGCGGGGAAAUCCCGGGGCUCAACCUCGGCAUUGCCUCUGAUACUGUUGGGCUAGAGAGUAGGUGCGGUAGGCGGAAUGUAUGGUGUAGCGGUGAAAUGCUUAGAGAUCAUACAGAACACCGAUUGCGAAGGCAGCUUACCAAGCUACUUCUGACGUUGAGGCACGAAAGCGUGGGGAGCAAACAGGAUUAGAUACCCGAGUAGUC